ACAAACUCUGGCUAUCACCCCGUCUGCUCGGAGAGUCUGUCUUUUUUGUUGGCUUGCUUUCUUUCUCCUGAUGUUUUGAAACCGUCACCCUUGACGGAACAAAGGGCCCAGCGUGGGCCCGCUGUACAGGCGAGGAUGUAAUGAGGUUCUUAAUGCUGUGGAUUGCCUGACUGCCUUCGAACACAACACCUGAGAGAAGGACAUUGUGGCCAAAUUGAUUUUGGAGACAAUUAGGUCAAAGCCAUAGAUACUGAAAUUGACCCAUCUGCCAGGGGACAAGCAAUCUCAUCUGGCGGGGGCGGGGGGACGGGGGGGGGGGGGUCCAAUCAUGUGAUUACCAUCCGUCAGCCACUGUGUCCACUUUUGUCUUUCAGCCACUGACCCCACGCAGUGGGCCACCGUUGCCCCCCCCCCCUCAUCCCCACCCCUCAACCAGUGUGACACAAUAAAUCCCGUCAGCUCCGCCCCUUCUUCUCAUCUUCAUGUUAAUUUGCAUGAGCGUCCAAAAUGUCUCCCAUUCCGCUGUUGAUCUUUCAGUAGAGGCCUUUUCCUGUUUGUUUGUCAUGCCGGGUCUAGUUUGAAUCCCCUCCAUUGGCAUAUACGUGAGUAUGAAAUUUUAAUGAUUAAUGCAUCUCCGGUGGAGGGAAGGGAAGUGCUAAAAUCAUAACCAGCUAAAAGUGCUGGCUCUGAUUUACCGUACACCCGCAUGCCUUCUAAUAAUUACUGAAGAUGCAUGGGCGUGUAUUUUGUUUUCGCAGAUGGACGUUUUUCUGGAGCUACGCGUUAUAAUAACAGUGUUAUUACCGAAAUAAAACAUUGUCAGGCUCUAAAAUGUUGUUUGAUCAUUAAACAUCAAACACAGAGAAAGAAUUGAUUUUUCUUUUUUUUUUUAAAGUAAACAUUUAUUUUCAUCGUAUAUCUUUAUAAAAUGACAGCGCCCUCAUUUGUUGUUAUUACAGUUCAAUGAUGGGACAACAAUGCGGGUCGAGAGGACUCUGCAGUCUGCUGACGUCCUGCAAUUUGAUUUUAUUUUUUAGGUCUCCGAUGGAGAAAUUAUUUGCUAUUUAGUCCUCAAUUUGUGCAGGCAAAGAAAAUUGGUAUCUCUGAGCCGGCGGGCCUUUCAGAGGUAGAGCGCUGUUGCGCUCGCUCUAAUCAGUUUUCAUGCACGUAGCCCACAGAGACGCGACGGCAGAGACGCGACGGGGCAGAGUGGAGUGCAGCGGAGGAGACUCUCGUGAGCGGCAUCGGCAGACCACUCUCGGAAUCAACAAUUGCCUGACAAAAGCACGACACCGACCCGCGUCUUGAUGAACUGUAACCCUGGAAUGCGUCGCCACAUCAUCGCUCCUCCGGCCUCACGGCAGCCCGCCUCCGGUGUGGCAUCCAGCACUCGGGCGUUUUCGCUCGCAGCUUUGUCAACAUUUCAGGCUUCCUUCACAGCGCCAAACUGUGAUGUGCCAUAUGCUUUCUUGGCACUGAUGGAGACAUUCUGUUUGGCAAAUUGCAUCGACGUGCGCCACUUGCAAUAAAAAUGCAAAGCGCUUUGGGCAAGAAAAAGCUUCCCUUUGUAUCAGAAGAGAGUCGAUCAGCUCACAUCAACCUAAUGGAGGCUUGCCGCAACGGUGGGAAAGUGGAGCGGUGUUUCCACAGGGCAAAAAAAGCAAAGGCUGCAUCUGCUGCACACCGACAGGUGCUUACCGUGGCAGAAGACUUGAAGCAGGAGUCCGAUGAACAUCAUCCUGUGCGCCGACAUGGGACUACUUUUGAAGAGGAAGACCGUCAAGCGUCUGCUGCUUCCACAUGCGAGCAUCCCGUCCUGCGAAGAUGACGAUGACGAUGCGUCCCGUACGCGGCACUCGCUUGAUCGGACGGCCAGGUAAGAGAUGCGCAAAAGUUGACCGACGGCAACACCGCGAGCGCGACCGAGCGAGUAGCGACGUAUUGUGCGCGCUACUGGUGGCGGCGCGCAAGUUCUCGCGAUCUUUGCUGCUCCAUCCGCGUCUCUUACGUCCACGAUUUGAUUGAUGGAAAUGUCCAAAAGAGGUCCCUGUGCUGCGCUCGCAAGUUCUCAUAUGUGUGGCUCCGCAGUUGUCCGCUCGUCGAAGUGAAAGAGGCAAAGCUCGCGUCUCCUGUUAUUAUAGGGGUCACGUGAUUGGCCCCUGGAAAAAAAAGGAGGAAUAAUCCCAAGAGUUGCCGCGAAUGUUUCCCGGGGGGGAACAGCUGUGCGCGCGGACAUGGCAAGAUGGACAGCUGGGGAUGCUCAAUGUCAGCAAAGUGGAGAGUAGAUCUGAAAGACAUAUUUACCUUCUGGUUUUACGAUUAUAAAACUAGAAAUGCUUGGGUUGAAGACAGGCUUAGCGAGUCACCAUAUAAUAAAAUAUGGAAUCAAUUGCUAAAAAAAAAACUAACCUACUCGCUGAUUUUGCGCACAUCUGUAUUGCUUUGGUGUCAUCUCGCGCCAAGGAACUACGUUGAAGUUGGUUGAGGAGUUAGCUGCUAUGAGAGCCUUUUCCAUAGUUGCCAUAUCCCUCUUUGACACACCAUCAAAACAUCUUUUGAUAUUUAAAUUCCAUUUUAUAUCACAAUUACAGUAUCUUCUUAGUCAGAUGAGGGGGUUGUUUUAUUUUGCAAGCAGGCUGCCAAGAAUAAAAAUGUAUGGUACAUGCUUUGGGGAGGAAAAAGAAAAGUAUAUUGAUUCACCGCCAUUGAUAGCCAUCGAUUGAUUAUUUUAAGUGGGCUGGCAGUGAAUGAGUUAAUUUUCAUUUUCUUGUUUGUCCCAGUCUGCCAUUUACGAAAGUACAAUGAGUGUCGUAGCGCCGCCUAGUGGUGAAACUCCUUAAUCGUAACGUCUUCUUCUUUUCAACCUACAAUUUGAGGAUGGACACACACGAACUCACAUAAUAACAUCAAAAUGUUGAAGUUGUCCCAAAGGUUCUGCGCAAAGAUAAAACUAAUCAUUGAAUGAUGUGCACCCUCGUUAUUUGGUACUAAGUAACUCGGUUUUAGAAAUACGGUCUUGGUCUUGUCAUGGUCUUAAAGAGAUUUUCGUCUCUUUAUAAACAACUCUGGUGGGUGAUAUUAAAUGUUAAACGUGAAUGAAACCUGUUCCCGGUCCUGCCUGCGUCGCUGCGAGACCAUUGCGGACCCUGCAGACUGCGUGCUUUCAUAUCAGCCCUUAGCAGGAUUGGGACUGUGAAAUCUUCACUUUUCCAACUGCUGCAGCUCGCCUGUGGGUUGGUGUGCUUUUUUGUCAUCACCGAAUGACACGCAAAGAGAAUUGCGCCGCGCUGUAAAUAUUGACUUAUUUUUCAUUUUGCUCACCAAAGAAGACAAUGAUUGUGCAGCCUGUUGGAAUGGCAUCACAGCUUAUCAAAGGUUGGGCCCAAUAAACACUCCUAACAGAUUUAGAUGUUGGAUUCCCAUUGCAGAAAUGCAGUUUAACAUGUAUAACAUGUGGUGAAAAGAAAACAAAAGUCUGCAUAUUUCUUCAUUGCGCGAUCUGUAGUCUUUCUCUGGUUUGGAAUCACUUGUCAUUGAAAAACAAGAGUAAUUGUAAAUUAGCGUGUGACUUCACGCUGAUUACUUUUGAACGUAGAGAUAUUGGAACGCCCCGUGCAUAUCUUUUUGAACUGGAUACUUGAGGGG